UUUGUUUGAUGGGUAUGUCAUUAUAAGCAUGGCCACAAUUAUGAAUGACAACACUGUGCAUGUUCAUGUACGUAAUCAAUAUGUCCACGUUAAUGGCUACUUAGGAAUAUUAAUAGAAACUAAAGCAUUGGAGCAUUUUUGUCUUGUCAAACACUGUGCAUUGCUAAUGUAUUUUAAUCUUGGCUUAACGCU